rnacentral:rRNA from 1 species
AUGAACGCUGGCGGCGUGCCUAAUACAUGCCAGUCGAGCGAACAGACGAGGAGCUUGCUCCUCUGACGUUAGCGGCGGACGGGUGAGUAACACGUGGAUAACCUACCUAUAAGACUGGGAUAACUUCGGGAAACCGGAGCUAAUACCGGAUAAUAUAUUGAACCGCAUGGUUCAAUAGUGAAAGACGGUUUUGCUGUCACUUAUAGAUGGAUCCGCGCCGCAUUAGCUAGUUGGUAAGGUAACGGCUUACCAAGGCAACGAUGCGUAGCCGACCUGAGAGGGUGAUCGGCCACACUGGAACUGAGACACGGUCCAGACUCCUACAGGAGGCAGCAGUAGGGAAUCUUCCGCAAUGGGCGAAAGCCUGACGGAGCAACGCCGCGUGAGUGAUGAAGGUCUUCGGAUCGUAAAACUCUGUUAUUAGGGAAGAACAAAUGUGUAAGUAACUAUGCACGUCUUGACGGUACCUAAUCAGAAAGCCACGGCUAACUACGUG